rnacentral:rRNA from 1 species
GUCGAGUGCGCGCCUGUAGCAAUACAGGUGGCGCACGGCGCACGGGUGCGUAACACGUGGGUAAUCUGCCCUUCGAUGGGGAAUAACUCCGGGAAACCGAAGCUAAUUCCGCAUAACAUUCCUUGAACCUCGGUUUGGGGACUCAAAGCCGUAAGGCGUCGGAGGAGGAACCCGCGCACGAUUAGCUAGUUGGUAGGGUAACGGCCUACCAAGGCUUUGAUCGUUAGCUGGUCUGAGAGGAUGGCCAGCCACACUGGAACUGAGACACGGUCCAGACUCCUACGGGAGGCAGCAGUGGGGAAUCUUGCACAAUGGGCGAAAGCCUGAUGCAGCGACGCCGCGUGGGGGAUGAAGCUUUUCGGAGUGUAAACCCCUUUCGACCCGGACGAAUGUCCCGCAAGGGAACUGACGGUACGGGUAUAAGAAGCCCCGGCUAACUACGUGCCAGCAGCCGCGGUAAGACGUGGGGGGCCAGCGUUGCUCGGAAUUACUGGGUGUAAAGGGUUCGUAGGCGGUGUAGCAAGUCGGGAGUGAAAUCUCUGGGCUCAACCCAGAGACUGCUUCCGAAACUGCUGUGCUUGAGUGUGGGAGAGGCGCGUGGAAUUGCAGGUGUAGCGGUGAAAUGCGUAGAUAUCUGCAGGAACACCCGUGGCGAAAGCGGCGCGCUGGACCACUACUGACGCCGAGGAACGAAAGCUAGGGGAGCAAACAGGAUUAGAUACCCUGGUAGUCCUAGCCCUAAACGAUCA